CUCACACACCCCGCCCGGCCGGGUGUGCGCGCCGCUGAAGGCCCCGAGACCGGAGCUGUGUGCCGAGUAUACCGAAACGUCCUAACAGUGAGAGGAAUGACCAGGACCCGAUGAAUUAUUCAGCUACCCGCCCCUCCCCCCACUCCCACCCCAUCUGCCUGCUGCUGUCACAGCUCCCUCCUAAGUUGGAGAAGCUUUGGAGAAGGGGAGAAGCUUUGGAGGCUGCCAAUCGGAGGUGAAAACAAUCUUGCCACCUGUGAAAUGGGAGGACCGUCCCAGUGCCUGGCUACUGCUUCCACCAGAAGGUGCUGAGAGGGAUUUUCCUCUUGUCCAUUGUCCUCAUCCUCCAGCAGUGCUCAGGGAGGGUCUGGGGUACUCACAACACCCGCAGGCGCGCGCACACACCAGCCCCCAAAUUCCUCAGGUGUUGCCACUAGUUCUCCUGUAAGGCUUGGAAGAACAUGAAGGAGAAAAGUGGCUUUUGUCCGUAUUCGAGAAGAGCGAUCUGCUCCUCCGGCUUUCAGGGCCAGGCUUUGAGAAGCUGUCAGUGCACCUCAGAGUUUUCCUUGCUGGGGAAGUGAAUCAAGGCAGCCUUUUCUUAACUCUGGGUCUAAGCAGAGCCUGAGAAGCUCAGGCCUGGAACUCAACCCCCCCCCCUCCCCCGCCGGGGGCCAUGUAGACAUGAUUUCCCCAAGCCCACCCAGGCCCCAGUCAACUUCAUCAAGAAACAAAUAUUUAUCUAACUGAACCCCUGUUUUUCAAGUACCAAGAAGCAAAGAUCAUUUUCCCAAACUACUUGCCAGGCACCCUAAUCUGACCCCUCCCUCACUCUUCCCCAAUUCCCCAAACCAUUCUAUUGUACUCUCUCAAAUGGAUAAUUUCCUUUGUUUUCAACUUCUCUGAAUAUUUCCUUCCAUUCUUUUUUUUUUUUUUUUAAGGGUUAUUUUACUUGAAAGAGUUACAGAGGAAGAGAGGGAAAGAGAUCUUCCAUCCACUGAUUCACUCCCCCAUGUGGCUGCACUGGUUGGGACAGUGCCAGGUUUGAGCACUGCUUUGCUAGGUGAAUUAGCAGAAAGCUGGGUUGGAAGUGAAGCAGCCAGGACUCCAUCCAGCACUCACAGGGGAUGCUGGUAUUUGAGGCAGUGGCUUCAGCACUGUGCGGAAGUGCUGGCCCCUUCCUUCCAUUCUUGCUCUAGCUACUUCCCCUUCAGCCUCUUAGUCCCUUUGCUCAUUUUACUCUUAGGGAUUGACAUGAUUUGCAUUAAUGAAUUUGGAAAGAAAUAACUGGGCAAGCCCGAUCAGUUUCGCAAUUUCCUUCUUAGCAGGGAAGUACCUGAAAGAAGCAGGUUUUCUCUGUUGCAUCUCUAGAGAUUCUAUCUUCAGGGAGAGCUACCUAACAGAACUGAGCCAACUGACUAUACAUGUACAUAUGUGUAAACGUGUCUAGAUGUGCAUAUAAAAAUAGAGAGAGAGGCUUCAAAAAUCAUGUAAAAUAGGAUUAAAGGGUGGAAAUAAGAACAUAAACCUUAUUUUUCAACAUAUGCUUCAUCAAAUUUAAAACAGUUUUGUAAGCAAUGACACAAGCCAUUUAGUGCCUUUCGAUAGAACUGAGGGUCCUGGGAAUUCAACCAUACCAAUGCACUUUUUUUUUUAUAUUAUUAUAUGAAGAAAAAUGGGUGUUCUUGCAAGAUUUUUUUUUUUUAAGAUUAAAAAACAAAAAGAAGUCAGAGGGCCAAAUCAGGACUCUAAGGUGGAUACUCAGUGAUUUUCCAUUGAAGCUCUCACAAAAUCACCUUUGUUUGAUGUGAAGAAUGAACAAGAGCAUUGUCGUGGCAGGAGACUCUGUGAUGAAGCUUUCCUAGUGUUUCUGCUUCCAUGACCAAGUUGCUGGCAGAACUCAAAUCCAAGUCUUCCAGGACCUUUUCAUUAUUCCACAAGAAAUUCAACUUAGGAAGGUCGUGAGAGGCUGAUGGGUCAGCCAAGCUCUCAGCAUAGUAUUCCUUCAGAAACAAGAAUGGUGGAAGAAAUCAGAGCGUCUGGAUCUACAGAGGGCAGCUUUGAAGGCCAAAACUGUUGGAUGCCACCAUUCUGAGGUCAACAGAAGCUGUGGAGGCCCUGGUCUUCCCUAGGGAUGAGUGAGAUUGCUGGCAGUGUUGAUAGUCAAGGUGGUAACAGUCAAUACUCUCCAUUAAGCAACUGACUAAGUGCUUGGAAACAGGUGUAGUCAAGCAUAUCUGGAAAUGUGUAAAAAUUUGGACAAAUGUAGUUACUAUUUAGACAACUCUACACAUCUUCACAGGCAUAGAGAUACAAUCAACAUGUCCAAAACUGGACCCAUUAUCUAUACUCAAGUGUAUCCCAUUUAUCCUGUAACUGUCACCACCAUUUACUCAUUUACUAAGUCACAAAUGUAAGUGUCAUCUAUCCCAUUUCCCUAUAUUCUGCACCCCCUACAUCAAAUCAAUAGCCAGCUCUAUUUAAAUUCUGUCUACUUAAUAUUGCAAACCCCUCCCUUUACAGUGUUCACACGUGUCAAUUUAAGUGUGUGUUUCUUUCCUUUUACAAGUACAACAAAACAAUCUCUAAAUUAUCUUAUUGCUUUCAUCUUUGCUUUGAUCUAAACCAUUCUCUAAAUGGAGAAGCAGUGGAAGUAGGGUAGAAGUGAAGAGCCAACUCUUUUGGAGACAGUAAGUUUGAAUCUAGUUCCUUUGUACCAAGUUAAUUAACUUUAUUUACUAUAGUUUCUUUUUUUGAUUAAUAUAUUUAGUCUUACUUUUAUUUAAAAGGUGAAAUGCCAAAGAGAAAGGUACAGAGGAUUUUCUGUGCACUGGUUCACUCUGCAAAUGCCCACAACAGUCAGAGCUGGGUCAGGUCAAAGCCAAUAGUCCAGAAUACCAUCUGGGUCUCCUAUGUGGGUGAAAGGGACCCAGGGUACUUGAGCAUUCACCUGCUCACUUCCAGGGUGUGCAUUAGCAGGAAGAAGAGACUCAAACCUAAGCACUCUCAUUGGCUGUAGGUGUCUCAAGAGUUGGCUUAACCAUUGCAUCACAAAUUUCUUAUUGCCAUCAGUCAUAGAAAUCUGAAAAGGAUCACUAAAGGCAGGAAGUAUGACCCAUGAAUAGAUCCAGUUGUGCAUCACUGAGGAACAAAGUUUUUAGGGCUAGAAAUCUACUUUUAGGUUGCUUUACUUUUGCUACACCAUGAUGAAGAAAUGUUGAUCAUAGCCUUGCCUUGUGAAAGUUUAAAGAAACCUAGUCAUAUAAUGUCUGCUAUAUAAAGUACUGCAUUUCAUAGCCUUCAGCCAUUUUCAUGUUACUAAUGCGAUUGUCAAUUUUUGUGAGUCGGGUUCUCUCCAGGGCUUAGACAUUACUGACAUAGCCCGUUGAAAAGUAACAAAUUCAGACAAAACUGAAUGGUUAUGGUAACCUUUGAUACUGUCAUUUGUUCUGUAAAAUGCCUGGCUUGAGAAGUCAACAAAAGGUAAGAACAAAUGAGGGUUUUUUUCAAAAUUCAGAUAGUUUUAGAUAAUGUUUUAUUUCAGAGGUUUUUUAGUGAAAAGCCAGUUUAAAAGGCCUUGUAUGGUAGGGGUUUGGCCCAGCAUUAAGACACCAACAUCCUAAAUGGGAGUACCUGGGUUCAAUUUCUGGAUCUGGCUCCUGUCUCCAACUUUCCACCAGUGCUACCCCUGAGGGUCAGUAAUAAUGGUUUAAAUAAUUGGGCUCCUGCUACCCACACUGGAGAUCUGGAUUCAGUUCCUUGCGCUCAACCUUGGCCUCACUCAAACCUGCUGUUGUGAGCAUUUGGGGUGUGAACCAGUACAUGAAAGUGCUCUCUCUCUCUCUCUCUCUCUCUCUCUCUCUCCAUGAAAUAAAUAAACUUUUUUAAAGAUAAAAAGGUAGAUUGAGGAGCUUAAGAACUGCUGGGUACUAAUUCUAAAAAAUGUGACAAAUAUAAAGGCUGGUACCAAAGUUACCUUAAGGAAAGGCAUAGUUGAGGAUCACACAAUGACAAAGAUGUAGGGGCCUUUUUUAUAGAAAAAAAAUAUGGCCCAGAGAAUAGGAAGGAUAAUGAUUUCCAGUUUAGCUGUUUCUAUUAUACCUUGUAUAGUUUUCCUAGACUUGCUAUAGCAAAUUAACACAAAUUUGGUGGCCAGGACCACACACAUUUAUUCUCACAGAGCUCUGAACCAGAGAAGUCUUAAAUCAAAGGGCCAUCAGGAUCAUACUUCCUCUGAAAAAUUUAGGGAAGAACCCUUCCUUGCCUCUGCCAGCUCCUGGUGCCCCAGGCAUUCCUUGGCUUGCAGCCCAUCUCUGCCUCCCAUCUUGUCUCCCAUCUCUGCCAGCAUCUGCAGAUGCUCUUCCUUUAUGUGUGUCCCUCUAGAUCCUCUGUAAGAAUAGUAGUCACUGGAUUUGAUGCUCACUCUAAACCUGGUGUGAUAUCAUCUUGAGAUCCUUAACUAAUUAUAUGCAAAGAUCCUAUUUCCCAAAACAUGUCACAUUCUGAGAUUUUAGAUAGAUAUUAAUUUUAGCAGGGGAACUACUCAAUGCCACUACAUAUUGUGUGAACCCUCCUUGACACAGAGGGAUCAUUGAUGGAUUUAAGAAAGCAGGAACUAAUUCUGAACUUCUCUCCAUACCUUAGGCUAUAAUUCAUGCAUAGUUAUUAAAAGUCAGACUGCCUGAAUUCAAAGCACAUUGAUCUUCCACCACAGGUAAAUCAUUUCUAAGCCUCAGUUGCCUCAGUUACAAAAUGGAGAAUAUAAUUCUUCCUUCCUCAUGGGAACCACAUAUGGUUGCAGUGAGGAAAAAAAUGAGAUAACCCACGUGGAGCACUUAGCCCAAAAGUGACCCAAUGGCUAAGAGUCAAUAAAUAUUACAUGCUCUCAAUCAAAGCCAGGACUGAUGCUUUUGAAGGAUUUGCAUAAUGCACGAAAUAAAACUCAAUCAUCCCAAGGGCUGUGUGAAAAGUACCAUAUGGAAGCUAGCUAUUUAUUCCUAACCAUAGCGCUCAUUUUUAAUAAUUGUUGUGGGAAAGGAUCUGACCUCCCUACCAAUAAUUUCAAUGAGGUUGCUUUCAUCAGCUCCCACCUGAUCUGUGUGGCUAUUAGCAAUUUCUGGUACUUUCCAACAUGACUCUGAUUCAUAUUUGGAGGUCUAGUGUCUUUACAAAAGUAUAGAUGAGCAGAAAUGUACAAAGAUACCCAAGGUAAACAGCUUGAUAACCGAGAGCAUGGAAUUUAAAAGCUGAUGGGUGUCAGGCAUCUCUCAAAAAUAAUCUCUGGAUGAAGUGGUUGGAUCUUGCUUGAAAAGGCUGGCAAGGAAGGAAGCUGGAACUGAGACCCAGAAGAUAAAUAAAACCUUGGGUGGACCCCAGUGCUGGUAGCUCAGAGUCCAAUUGAAGUGCCUUAAAUAAAAGUACAGCAAGACUGGAAAUGAGAGUUGAGGUGAGGAAAUAUCCAGUGAGUCACGGGACUGGGAUAAUACCUCUUCUAGCAGAACCUGUGGGACACUGCCCAGAUCCUCCUUCUCAACUGAAGCACUCAUUCUCACCGCUAUUGGGGAAUCUGCUCUUGGAGAAUCUCCUUAAAAAGAACCACCCCGUCAAGGGCACACAUCCUCCCAGGAUGCAGCUCACAUCCCAUGUCUGGUCCACAGAAGAACAUAAAGGCUUGGCCCUUUGCCAUAGGGAGGAUAAUUCUCAAGGGUCGUUCCAGUUCCAGAGCUCCUGCGGGAUCAGAUGAGGUUUCUGCUAUAACUGCUUAGCAGGUCUACCUUCUGUCCCUCUCUGAGACAGAGAUCCUGAGACCAGCUCAAUUAAACUCUUGUGUGCAAAUUGCUAAGUCACUGUGUUUGCCAGGAACCAAUCUCAGACCCUACCUUUCACAAAAUCCCUGAAAGGCAGGUUUUUCUCUAUCUUGGUUUACAGAUGAGAAAAUUGAACCUUGGAAAUCAAGCACUGUUCUCAAAGACAUAUAGCUACUAAAUGGCAAAGUGUGAUUUUUAAACCCAAGUAUGCACAGCCCAAAGCCCAUAGUCCUUUCACUCCAAUCUCUGCCUUCAGUGAGUCACAAGUAAUAAAACAGAGAUUAAACAUUCUCAGGAUGAGAAAAUAGGAAGCUAACCACACUGUUAUAUUGGUAGGAUUCCUUUUUAUGUUCUCUCUGGCUUGCUCAAAGACCUAUUAUUAUGGCUGUGGUUCUUUUUGUUGUUAUCUCAUUCAACACUGGAUACUAAAUGUUUGUUUUCUUUUAUUAGCCCACUGUAUGCUUAGGAGCUGGCUCCAGUUUCCUAGUUAUGUUUACCUAGCUCCUUAUAAGCUUGAGCCAUCUGUUCCUCUCAUGGUAGAUGACAUUUUCCCCCCAGAGGUUUCCCCCUUUGUAUUUUACAAAUGAAGUUAGGCUAGACCAUUCGUUGUCAUUCUCUUCACCUCUGUUCUUCUUCUCUUCUUGCAUCUUCUCCUCCUCCUACCCCUCUUCUCCACCCUCCUCUUCAGCAUUACCAUCAUCAUUGUCAUCAUGAAAACACUGAGAAGAUGCCUUAGGAACAAGACAGUGGCCACAUCCUUACACUUGAAAUUAUGUCAGAAAUAUAUCAUGUUUGGAUUCAGAACUAUGAUCAAAAGGAAGUGGUGGAAUUUUGUAAUUAAUCAGACCUGAUUUUUGAACCAAGACAUUCCAGGUUUGAAUUUCUGUUUUAACAGACUAGAUACAUAAUCUUGAGUAAGUUGAACUGCUAUCUGAGAUCUUCUCCUGUAAAACGGGGUGCAUAUUAGUAAUUAUUAUUGUACAUGGGAGGAUUUACUGAUAUACACAUAAAGGGCUUAACACAGAGUGCUAUAAAUAUAGUAAAUACACAAAGUUACAUUUUGAUGCACAGAAAUUAGAAGUGAAGACAUUUGGGUGUGUAAUUUAAAAAUGCUGCAUGGUUACAGCAAUUCAACAAAAGGAUAAGCUGAGUUCGAGGGAGAGCCAGCUUUUUGAGAGCUUCUGGUCUGAGCAUUGCAAAGAACUGAGAUGAUCAGAUGAUCAUUAGCAUAUAUGUCUUCCAAACACCAUAUUAUAUUCAUUCAAAUUGUCUGGAUAUGGUUGGAUUUCUUGAGAUUGCUUCUCAUAGAUAUAGAAACUUGAAUACUCAAAUGAUCAAUAAACAUGAGCUCAAAAAUAGCACCUGUAGUUUUGUGAUAUCUUAAAUUCAGAGCCAGAAAAGAUCAUUUACCAGGAAAAACUUGGAAAGGUGCCUUUGAUUUUGGAAUUGAAGCAUUAAUUAUUGAGUUGAGAUAAUUUGGGCAACUGGUUGCUCAAUUCCAUGAAAAUGGCUGGGUAAAAAUACACUUGAAGAAUGUUCAGGUCAAAAGAGAAAAUAUCAACCCAUCAAUUCUUGUUCUUUAAUUUUAUCCUGAAAGGUGAUGGAUUCCCACACUUCCAGGCUGCAUAUGUAUGGACACCCUGUAGCACUGAGAGAGAAGUCCUAGAUCGGAAUACAUACAAAACAUAUAAUGAAGUGGUACAAAUGAAUAAGAAAACAUAAAAAAAAUUAA